rnacentral:rRNA from 1 species
AUACGUAGGGGGCAAGCGUUAUCCGGAUUUACUGGGUGUAAAGGGAGCGUAGACGGGCGUGCAAGUCUGAAGUGAAAGCCCGGGGCUCGACCCCGGCACUGCUUUGGAUACUGUAUUUCUAGAGUGCAGGAGAGGUAAGUGGUAUUCCUAGUGUAGCGGUGAAAUGCGUAGAUAUUUGGAGGAACACCAGUGGCGAAGGCGGCUUACUGGACUUUAACUGACGUUGAGGCUCGAAGGCGUGGGGAGCAAACAGGAUUAGAUACCCUGGUAGUCCACGCGGUAAACGAUGAAUACUAGGUGUCGGGAGAGAAACUCUUUCGGUGCCGCAGCAAACGCAAUAAGUAUUCCACCUGUGGAGUACGUUCGCAAGAAUGAAACUCAAAUGAAUUGACGGGG